GAAGACCUUACCCGACUUAGCUGAGAGGUGGUGCAUGGCCGUCGUCAGUUCGUACUGUGAAGCAUCCUGUUAAGUCAGGCAACGAGCGAGACCCACGUCCACAGUUGCCAGCAUACCCUCCGGGGUGGAUGGGUACACUGUGGAGACCGCCGCUGCUAAAGCGGAGGAAGGAGUGGGCAACGGUAGGUCAGUAUGCCCCGAAUCUCCCGGGCUACACGCGGGCUACAAUGGUUGGUACAAUGGGCAUCUACCCCGAAAGGGGAAGGGAAUCUCUUAAAGCCAAUCGUAGUUCGGAUUGAGGGCUGCAACUCGCCCUCAUGAAGCUGGAAUCCGUAGUAAUCGCGUUUCAACAGAACGCGGUGAAUACGUCCCUGCUCCUU
rnacentral:rRNA from 1 species